AUCUUCAUUUUCAGUUGGGAAGAGACCAUGUAGUGAGGGGGGAAAAAAAUGAACACAAAUAGAGAAAUCAUCAAUGGACUGAAUGAUAAGAAUUGAUCAAAAUAAUCCAAAACCCCAUGACAUGCAGUCUCAGAAGCCUUCCCGUGGGCUGGAAGCUCACAAAGAAGCUUAAAUUUUAGAAGAGCCGUCUUUAGAAGUCGAUAUUGCAUUCAGAAAACAACCAACCAACCGAAAAGCUGGUGGUGGGGUGUGGGACCAGAUGUAUGCAUGUGGGGGAAAUUUUGUUAUUCUCACACAGCGUACAGUGGUCUUAGUCCUCGGUUCUACUGCUCUGUGCCUCUCCCCCAUCUUCCCUACAUCCUGUUGCUCUCCAUCACACGGGCUAAACACUUCUGUGACCUCGCAGUCCUUUAGAAAUAGACAUUUUACUGCACCACCCACCUGCUCCCAAACUGGAAGAAAAAAUAUUCAGUACGAUGCAUUCAGUAGAUUACUGAGCUUUUCCAGGAUUAUACUGUCAUCAUGGUUUGUAAGACAACUGUUAUCAAGAGCUAGAUGUAUUAUCCUAUGAAGAAAAUAGUUACCUUUCAGAAAGCCAGUUCUGUUCAAUAUGCCUUCACAGAGAUAUGAGUACUAACUAGUUCUAACACUUGUGACCUUAACUUUCUACUUCACUGGGAACGCUGCUAUUUCAAGGCUGAAAGGGGAAUCUACAAAAACUCACUUGACGUUGAAGAACCUUUAACCGAGUAUUCUUAAAGCCCUAAGAAUCUUCGUGAACAUAAGAUUCUUUAUAUAUUAAUCACAGAAUACCUCAUACACAGAACUAUCCGUGUUGGAUCUAUCAGCUUCAAGGGAGGAAAGAAUGGCCAUUCCACCCAGCCUGAGAAGGACAGGCUUACAUCUUUGAAGUCUCCUUUGGUCACUUCCUCUUCCACAAUAUAAUCAAUGUCUUGAAUUUUGACUACAUCUUUCCUUUACUUUGCACUAUACUUUUCCCGACAGUGAAUGUGGACACGUCCCUCAGUAAGCUCUCAGAAAGGAUAAAGGUACCUUCCGGAUUCCUAUUGUCAGUGGAGAGACCACAGGACAUUUGGACAUAAAUUAAAGAGCUGGAAACAUGUUGUGGACUGAAAACCUCAAGGAAUGAUGAGGAAACGAUGAGGGUAAGAGGCAGAAGUUCUGAGUUCCAGUCCUGCCUCAGUGGAGUUUCUUCUCGCCUCACUCUGACCUCAGAUAUUUGCACUUCUAUGGCUCCACAUUUUCACCCUUGAUGAUUUCAGCCACUCUGAGGUUUCAACUAUAAUGUCUAUAAAAUGUUAAG